rnacentral:lncRNA from 1 species
CCCAUUUGGGACUGAAUUUCAACAAGUCUUUCUCCAAACUUCUAAACACUCUUCAUGAUUCUCUAGCACUUGUAAUCAAUCAAAAUUAUUGUAUUCUAACAUAUUCUAACCCUAAAAAACAGUAUACAAGCUAUUUAAUGCUUGAAAGCAAUGGUUGUGGGUUCUUAACCCAUUUCGGCCCAAAUUUCAGCAAGUCUUUUUACACUCUUCUAAACACUCUUCAUGCAUCUCUAGAACUUGUAAUCAAUCAAAUUUAAUGUAUUUUAACCUAUUAUAACCCCAAAGAACACUAAACAAGAAAUUUAGUGGUUCAACGCAAUGUUUCCGAGUUCUUAGCCCAUUUGGGACCAAAUUUCAACAAGUCUUUCUCCAAACUUCUAAACCAUUUUUAUGAUGCUCUAGCACUUGUAAUCAAUCAAAAUUAUUGUAUUCUAUGUUAUUCUAACCCCAAAAAACAGUAGACAAGCCAUUUAAUGCUUGAAAGCAAUGGUUGUAGGUUCUUAUCCCAUUUCGGCCCAAAUUUCAGCAAUUCUUUCUACACUCUUCUAAACGCUCUUCAUGCAUCUCUAGAACUUGUAAUCAAUCAAAUUUAAUGUACUCUAACCUAUUCUAACCCCAAAGAACACUACACAAGCCAUUUAGUGGUUCAACGCAAUGUUUCCGAGUUCUUAGCCCAUUUGGGACCAAAUUUCAACAAGUCUUUCUCCAAACUUCUA